UACGGGGGGUGCAAGCGUACUCGGAAUCACUGGGCGUAAAGAGCAUGUAGGCGGAUUAAUAAGUUGGAAGUGAAAUCCUAUAGCUUAACUAUAGAACUGCUUCCAAAACUGUUGAUCUAGAAUAUGGGAGAGGUAGAUGGAAUUUCUGGUGUAGGGGUAAAAUCCGUAGAGAUCAGAAGGAAUACCGAUUGCGAAGGCGAUCUACUGGAACAUUAUUGACGCUCAGAUGCGAAAGCGUGGGGAGCAAACAGGAUUAGAAACCCUGGUAGUCC
rnacentral:rRNA from 1 species